rnacentral:tRNA from 1 species
GCCCGGAUGGCGGAAUUGGUAGACGCGCUACAUUCAGGGUGUAGUAACCAACGGUUGUGCAAGUUCGAUUCUUGUUCCGGGUA